rnacentral:rRNA from 1 species
AUUAUUUUAAGCUAUAUAUUGGUAGUAAUUAAUAAUUUAUGAAAUCAUAAGAUUUUGGCGGUAUUUUAAGCUUAUUAGAGGAAUUUGCUCUGUAAUGGAUACAACGCCUUAAUCUUACUUAAUUUAGUAAAAAGUCAGUUUGUAUACCACUAUAUUUAAUUAUAUUGAAUAAUAAUAUUUAAGAUUUUUAUUAAAAAAAAUAUAUUAAGUCAAGGUGCAAUUUAUAAUUAUGAAUGAAGUGAAUUACAUUAAUUUUAAUUUUGUUAAAAAACUGAAAAAAAAUUAGGAUUUAAUAGUAAAAUGUUAAUAUUAUGAAUAUUUGAAUAAAGCUCUAAAAU